GCGGAGGAAAAGAAACUAACGAGGAUUCCCGUAGUAACGGCGAGUGAAAUGGGAAAAGCCCAGCGCUGAAUCCAUCGAUCACUGGUCGCUUGGAAUUGUGGCGUAUAGGUGCGGCUGUCCGCUCGUUUCGUGCACCCAAAGUCCCCUUGAGCGGGGCCAUAGUCCAAAGAAGGUGCUAGACCUGUACGGGUGACGAGACGGUCGGUUGGUCGCUCCUUGGAGUCGGGUUGCCUGGGAUCGCAGCCCAAAGUUGGUGGUAGACCUCAUCUAAGGCUAAAUAUGGCCACGAAACCGAUAGCAAACAAGUACCGUGAGGGAAAGUUGCAAAGAACUUUGAAGAGAGAGUUCAAGAGGGCGUGAAACCGCCGAGAUUGAAACGGAUAGAGUUGACGAAACUCGAUCGCAUUCAUCCGAUCCGCCGAGCGGCUCGACGGUUGCUGACUUCCUCGAUGAGGGCAGCGCCGUCGCUGACUGUUCGGUGUUAGAUGGGUGUAUUUGCGGUCGGUAUGCGCCGAGAGCCUUGCGAACGCAUGUUGACGUUGGUGUAGUGGACCACUCCCUCCGGGCGUGGAACCCUGCGCUGAUUGAGGUGUGUCGUUGGUAGGGUGUUGCUGGUUGACGUCUCCGCUAUGGUGCGUCGGCUUUGUUGGAUUGUUGUGGCCACUGGGUGAUCGCAUGCGAGCGCCUGUGGUUGACAACGAUACGACAAGGUGCGGACGCGCUUGGGACGUGCAUCUCGGUGUGAACGUUGACCACCUAUCCGACCCGUCUUGAAACACGGACCAAGGAGUCUAGCAUAUGCGCGAGUCAUUGGGUGGUAAACCUAAAGGCGUAAUGAAAGUAAAGGCCGUCUUGUUACGGUUGAUAUGGGAUCUGUGUGACUUUUGCGAGUCAUACGGCGCACCAUAGCCCCGUCCCGGUUGCUUGCAAUGGGGCGGAGGUAGAGCGCAUACGCUGGGACCCGAAAGAUGGUGAACUAUGCCUGAGCAGGAUGAAGCCAGAGGAAACUCUGGUGGAAGUCCGAAGCGGUUCUGACGUGCAAAUCGA
rnacentral:rRNA from 1 species